AACUAAAACUAGCUCAAAACACAUUAUAUAAUAUUAUCCCAAAAUAUUAAAAUAAAACAUUCAUUAAAAUAAAAGUAUAGGUGAUAGAAAUUCUAAUUGACGCUAUAGAAAUAGUACCGUAAGGGAAAAAAUGAAAGAAAACUUAUAAGUGAAAAAAAGCAAAGCUUUACCCUUGUACCUUUUGCAUAAUGAUUCAACUAGAAACUAUUAGCAAAAAGAAUUUAAGUUAAAACCCCCGAAACUAGACGAGCUACCCACUAGCAGCCUAAAGAGCAAACUCGUCUAUGUGGCAAAAUAGUGAGAAGACUAAUGGGUAGAGGCAAUAAACCUAUCGAGCCUAGUGAUAGCUGGUUGUCCAGAACAGAAUUUUAGUUCUAAUUUAAAUCUACUAUAAAAUAACAUAAACUUAAAUGUAGGAUUAAAUAAUAAUCUAAAAAGGUACAGCUUUUUAGAUAAGGGAUACAACCCCUAUUAGCGAGUUAAACAAAAAUAAACUAUUUUAGUUGGCCUAAAAGCAGCCAUCAAACAAGAUAGCGUUCAAGCUCAACAAACAUACAUAAAACUAAUCUCAAUUAUUAGCAAUAACACUCCUAAUAUAAAACUGGACUAUUCUAUUUUUAAAUAGAAGCAAUAAUGUUGAUAUAAGUAACAAGAAAUAAUUCUCCUUGCAUGCGUGUAUAUCAGAACGAAUAAUUCGCUGAUAGUUAACAAUCAUAAAUACAAUUACUCAAUUUAAACUCUAACAUAAUUGUUAGUCCAACACAGGUAUGCAAAUAAGGAAAGAUUAAAUAAAGUAAAAGGAACUCGGCAAACACAAACCCCGCCUGUUUACCAAAAACAUCACCUCUAGCAUUAAAAGUAUUAGAGGCACUGCCUGCCCAGUGACUUUAGUUUAACGGCCGCGGUAUCCUGACCGUGCAAAGGUAGCAUAAUCACUUGUUCUCUAAAUAAGGACUUGUAUGAAUGGCUUCACGAGGGUUUUACUGUCUCUUACUUUCAAUCAGUGAAAUUGACUUUCCCGUGAAGAGGCGGGGAUACAAAAAUAAGACGAGAAGACCCUAUGGAGCUUUAAUUAAUCAACUCAUAGACUACUAUAAUACUCUACCAAGAAUUAAACCUAUUCUAUUUGAGUUGACAAUUUAGGUUGGGGUGACCUCGGAAUAAAAAGCAACUUCCGAGAAAAUUUAAAUUAAGACACACAAGUCAAAAUUAUCCUAUUACAUAUUGAUCCGCUAGUAGCGAUCAACGAAACAAGUUACCCUAGGGAUAACAGCGCAAUCCUAUUUAAGAGUCCAUAUCGACAAUUAGGGUUUACGACCUCGAUGUUGGAUCAGGACAUCCCAAUGGUGCAGCCGCUAUUAAUGUGUUCGUUUGUUCAACGAUUAAAGUCCUACGUGAUCUGAGUUCAGACCGGAGAAAUCCAGGUCGGUUUCUAUCUAUUUUCAGGCCUCUCCUAGUACGAAAGGAUAAGAGAGACAGGGCCCACUUUUAAUAAGCGCCCUAAUUAAUCAGAUGAAUUAAUCUUAAUCUUAUUAUAUAUAUAUACCCGCCCAAGAACAGGGCUC
rnacentral:rRNA from 1 species